rnacentral:lncRNA from 1 species
ACCGUUACAAACGUCAAGUUCAAAUUAGCCGGCACUGAUGGGAUACCGAGUCCGGCAAGUUAGUCAAGAUCACAAUUGCCCAGAAGCAUCAUUUGAAAGGGUCAUAAAUUGCCUGUAGACCGAGUCCGGCAAGUUAGUCAAGAUCACAAUUGCCCAGAAGCAUCAUUUGAAAGGGUCAUAAAUUGCCUGUAGACCAUUGUGAUUUUUGGCUUUCUUCUUGUUUCUUGGAAGGUCAAAGUUAUGGUGCCGCACGCAACAGUCUG